rnacentral:rRNA from 1 species
CAGUGCGCGAAAGCCUGAUACAGCAAUGCCGCGUGCAGGAUGAAGGCCUUCGAGUUGUAACCUGCGUUUGUACGGAACGAAACGCUUUUGCUUAAUACCAUUGAGUAAUGACAGUACACUAAGACUAAUGACCGGUUAACUAUGUGGUAGCAGACGCGGUAAUACGGAGGGUGCAAGCGUUAAUCGGAAUUACUGGGCGUAAAGCGUGCGCAGGCGGUUUUGUAAGACAGAGGUGAAAUCCCCGGGCUCAACCUGGGAACUGCCUUUGUGACUGCAAGGCUAGAGUACGGCAGAGGGGGGUGGAAUUCCGCGUGUAGCAGUGAAAUGCAUAGAUAUGCGGAGGAACACCGAUGGCGAAGGCAACCCCCUGGGCCUGUACUGACGCUCAUGCACGAAAGCGUGGGGAGCAAACA